AUAAUACUCCCUCCGUCCGGAAAUACUUGUAUGAGGAAUGGAUGUAUAUAAAUGUAUUUUAGUUCUAAUACAUCCAUUUGUAUCCAUUUCUCCGACAAGUAUUUCCGGAUGAAGGGAGUAUGAU
rfam:Triticum aestivum genome assembly, contig: Triticum_aestivum_CS42_TGACv1_scaffold_130118_2BL